AAUAAGGUAAGUUAAGUCAAACUAUUGAAUUGUAACUUCAAACAUAUAUAAUUUUUCAAUAUCCUUAUUU
rnacentral:tRNA from 1 species